rnacentral:tRNA from 1 species
GAGAUCAUAGUCAACUAUGAUAUUUGAUUUGCACUCAUAAGGUGCUCCAAGGAGCUGAUCUUA